GCGGGCCGUUUGCAGACGACGAGAAGUGCAGGUCGCAGCUGUUCCGGACGCACACGGUAUACGCGUACAUGGCAAUGAAAAAAAAUUGAAUAAAGUUUUACGAAAUUGUUAUAUCUUUUAUUUUUUCCGUCAAUCGCACACGAUACGCGCGCAUAUCCGUUCGAACGACGUUCGACAGACCUUAAAACUGCAGCACAAUCAUAACGACAAUAAUAUUAUAUAUAUAUACCUAUAGGUACGGCGUUGGCUUCGAUCGACGAAUGACAUAACAACAAUCGCGCGGAGUUCUGUACCAUUUUGUCGUAUUGUAUUAUUAUAUUUUAAAAUAUACUUAUAGCGUUAUCGCGCGCCGAGCAGCCAAUCAAAGCGAAACGUCGUAGAGGAGGAGAUGAAAUUCGUCGAAAAUAAUAAUAUGGUGCUGUAUAAUUAUGGAUCAUAAUUUAGAAGCUAGUACAAUCAAUCGAUGCAAAUUUCGGCAGGAAAAUAAUCGAGACGCCCUAAACGUAUUAUAACAUAAUGUUUAAAAAAAAAAUAAAUAAUUUAACAGAUUUUCGUGUCUAAAUUUGUUUUUGAGUAUUAAAUUGCAUUGUUGGAUAUUA